rnacentral:rRNA from 1 species
CUCCCGAGUGCUUGCACUCAAUUGGAAAGAGGAGUGCCGGACGGGUGAGUAACACGUGGGUAACCUACCCAUCAGAGGGGGAUAACACUUGGAAACAGGUGCUAAUACCGCAUAACAGUUUAUGCCGCAUGGCAUAAGAGUGAAAGGCGCUUUCGGGUGUCGCUGAUGGAUGGACCCGCGGUGCAUUAGCUAGUUGGUGAGGUAACGGCUCACCAAGGCCACGAUGCAUAGCCGACCUGAGAGGGUGAUCGGCCACACUGGGACUGAGACACGGCCCAGACUCCUACGGGAGGCAGCAGUAGGGAAUCUUCGGCAAUGGACGAAAGUCUGACCGAGCAACGCCGCGUGAGUGAAGAAGGUUUUCGGAUCGUAAAACUCUGUUGUUAGAGAAGAACAAGGACGUUAGUAACUGAACGUCCCCUGACGGUAUCUAACCAGAAAGCCACGGCUAACUACGUGCCAGCAGCCGCGGUAAUACGUAGGUGGCAAGCGUUGUCCGGAUUUAUUGGGCGUAAAGCGAGCGCAGGCGGUUUCUUAAGUCUGAUGUGAAAGCCCCCGGCUCAACCGGGGAGGGUCAUUGGAAACUGGGAGACUUGAGUGCAGAAGAGGAGAGUGGAAUUCCAUGUGUAGCGGUGAAAUGCGUAGAUAUAUGGAGGAACACCAGUGGCGAAGGCGGCUCUCUGGUCUGUAACUGACGC